GACGAACCGUGCAAACGUUGUUCGGAAUCACUGGGCUUAAAGGGCGCGUAGGCGGGUUCUCAAGUCUGUGGUGAAAUCCCCCAGCUCAACUGGGGAACUGCCGUGGAUACUGGGAACCUCGAGGGGUGUAGGGGCAUGCGGAACUUCCGGUGGAGCGGUGAAAUGCGUAGAUAUCGGAAGGAACGCCGGUGGCGAAAGCGGCGUGCUGGACACCUACUGACGCUGAGGCGCGAAAGCCAGGGGAGCGAACAGG
rnacentral:rRNA from 1 species